rnacentral:rRNA from 1 species
GACGAACCGUGCGAACGUUAUUCGGAAUCACUGGGCUUAAAGCGCGUGUAGGCGGGCCGCCACGUCGGGCGCUGAAAUCCCCCGGCUCAACCGGGGAACGGGCACCGAUACGAGCGGCCUGGAGGGGAGUAGGGGGACCUGGAACUUCCGGUGGAGCGGUGAAAUGCGUUGAGAUCGGAAGGAACGCCCGUGGCGAAAGCGAGGUCCUGGGCUCCUGCUGACGCUGAGGUGCGAAAGCGUGGGGAGCAAACAGG